rnacentral:rRNA from 1 species
AACGAACGUUAGCGGCGCGCCUAACACAUGCAAGUCGCACGAGAAAGGGCUUCGGCCCCGGUAAAGUGGCGCACGGGUGAGUAACACGUAGGUAAUCUUCCCUCGAGUGGUGGAUAACCCUCCGAAAGGAGGGCUAAUACAGCAUGAGACCACGGCUUCUCCGGAAGCUGAGGCCAAAGCGGGCCUCUUAAUUAAAGCUCGCGCUUGAGGAUGAGCCUGCGGCCCAUCAGCUAGUUGGCGGUGUAACGGACCACCAAGGCAAAGACGGGUAGCUGGUCUGAGAGGAUGAACAGCCACACUGGAACUGAGACACGGUCCAGACUCCUACGGGAGGCAGCAGUGGGGAAUCUUGCGCAAUGGGCGAAAGCCUGACGCAGCGACGCCGCGUGAGUGAUGAAGGCCCUCGGGUUGUAAAGCUCUGUGGGGAGAGACGAAUAAGGGCCGGCUAAUACCCGGCUCGAUGACGGUAUCUCCUUAGCAAGCACCGGCUAACUCUGUGCCAGCAGCCGCGGUAAGACAGAGGGUGCAAACGUUGUUCGGAAUUACUGGGCGUAAAGCGCGUGUAGGCGGCAGGGUGUGUCGGAUGUGAAAUCCCGUGGCUCAACCACGGAAGUGCACCCGAAACUACCCAGCUCGAGUCUCGGAGAGGAAGGUGGAAUGCUUGGUGUAGAGGUGAAAUUCGUAGAUAUCAAGCGGAACACCGGUGGCGAAGGCGGCCUUCUGGACGAUGACUGACGCUGAGACGCGAAAGCGUGGGGAGCAAACAGGAUUAGACACCCUGGUAGUCCACGCCGUAAACGAUGAGUGCUAGGUGUCACGGGCUUUGACCCCUGUGGUGCCGUAGCUAACGCAGUAAGCACUCCGCCUGGGGAGUACGGCCGCAAGGCUA